UCUUGGGGACGCUGCUCCCCGGAAAUCGUUACUGCUUAACCUGAACGGCUCGCAGGAGAGACACGGACCGCCCUCGAGACCGGGAGGGGGCAAGAGGUAUUCCAUGGGGACCGGUAAAAUGGGAUAAUCUAUGGAAGACUACCUGUGGCGAAGGCAUUUCACCAGAACGGAUCUGACAAUGAGGGACGAAAGCCAGGGGAGCAAACCGGAUUAGAUACCCGA
rnacentral:rRNA from 1 species